rnacentral:rRNA from 1 species
GACGAACGCUGGCGGCGUGCUUAACACAUGCAAGUCGAACGGAAAGGCCCUGCUUGCAGGGUACUCGAGUGGCGAACGGGUGAGUAACACGUGGGUGAUCUGCCCUGCACUUCGGGAUAAGCCUGGGAAACUGGGUCUAAUACCGGAUAGGAGCCAUUUUUAGUGUGAUGGUUGGAAAGUUUUUUCGGUGUAGGAUGAGCUCGCGGCCUAUCAGCUUGUUGGUGGGGUAAUGGCCUACCAAGGCGGCGACGGGUAGCCGGCCUGAGAGGGUGGACGGCCACAUGGGGACUGAGAUACGGCCCAGACUCCUACGGGAGGCAGCAGUGGGGAAUAUUGCACAAUGGGCGCAAGCCUGAUGCAGCGACGCCGCGUGGGGGAUGACGGCCUUCGGGUUGUAAACUCCUUUCGCUAGGGACGAAGCUUUUUGUGACGGUACCUAGAUAAGAAGCACCGGCUAACUACG